CCUACCGUGUGGCUGCCUCCCGAUGUUGUUUAGUACCUGCACAGCUUGCUUUUCUCCACCAGGGAGGGAUCUCCUGGUGUUAGCUGCCUGCUUCCCUGCCAGUUUACAAGCAUGUCAUCAACCACAGCAACUCAAUAGCUUCAUUCUGUGACUGGCAGGCUCAAAAUGACUGGACCUGUAAAAGUCUUGACAGCAAACAGCUAAAAGAUUUCUUUACGACUUCAGAAGGUUUGUAAAAAAUAAAUAAAUAAAAAAUUGUGAUCCA
rnacentral:lncRNA from 1 species